rnacentral:rRNA from 1 species
UAGGGAAUAUUGGACAAUGGGGGCAACCCUGAUCCAGCCAUGCCGCGUGAGUGAAGAAGGCCCUCGGGUUGUAAAGCUCUUUUGUCCGGAAAGAAAAGCUUCGGGUUAAUACCCCGGGGUUCUGACGGUACCGGAAGAAUAAGCACCGGCUAACUUCGUGCCAGCAGCCGCGGUAAUACGAAGGGUGCAAGCGUUACUCGGAAUUACUGGGCGUAAAGCGUGCGUAGGUGGUUGUUUAAGUCUGAUGUGAAAGCCCUGGGCUCAACCUGGGAAUGGCAUUGGAAACUGGGCAGCUAGAGUGCGGUAGAGGGUAGUGGAAUUCCCGGUGUAGCAGUGAAAUGCGUAGAGAUCGGGAGGAACAUCAGUGACGAAGGCGACUGCCUGGACCAGCACUGACACUGAGGCACGAAAGCGUGGGGAGCAAACA